rnacentral:rRNA from 1 species
UACGUAGGGUGCAAGCGUUGUCCGGAAUUAUUGGGCGUAAAGAGCUCGUAGGCGGCUUGUCGCGUCGGCUGUGAAAACCUGGGGCUCAACCCCCGGGCCUGCAGCCGAUACGGGCAAGCUAGAGUUCGGUAGGGGAGACUGGAAUUCCUGGUGUAGCGGUGAAAUGCGCAGAUAUCAGGAGGAACACCGGUGGCGAAGGCGGGUCUCUGGGCCGAAACUGACGCUGAGGAGCGAAAGCGUGGGGAGCGAACAGG